GACGAACGCUGGCGGCGUGCUUAACACAUGCAAGUCGAACGGUAAGGCCCUUCGGGGUACACGAGUGGCGAACGGGUGAGUAACACGUGGGUGAUCUGCCCUGCACUUCGGGAUAAGCCUGGGAAACUGGGUCUAAUACCGGAUAGGACCACUGCCUGCAUGGGUGGUGGUGGAAAGCUUUUGCGGUGUGGGAUGGGCCCGCGGCCUAUCAGCUUGUUGGUGGGGUGAUGGCCUACCAAGGCGACGACGGGUAGCCGGCCUGAGAGGGUGACCGGCCACACUGGGACAGAGAUACGGCCGAGACUCCGACGGGAGGCAGCAGUGGGGAAUGUUGCACAAUGGGCGCAAGCCUGAUGCAGCGACGCCGCGUGAGGGAUGACGGCCUUCGGGUUGUAAACCUCUUUCAGUAGGGACGGAGCGCAAGUGACGGUACCUACAGAAGAAGGACCGGCCAACUACGUGCCAGCCGCCGCAGUAA
rnacentral:rRNA from 1 species